GCCUUCGUAGUGUAGUGGUCAGUACACUCGACGUGUAACCGAGAGGUCCGUGGUUCGAUUCCCAGCGAAAGCG
rfam:Stegodyphus mimosarum contig113730, whole genome shotgun sequence.